rnacentral:rRNA from 1 species
GACGAACGCUGGCGGCGUGCUUAACACAUGCAAGUCGAGCGAGAAAAAGUCUUCGGACUUUUUUCUAGCGGCGGACGGGUGAGUAACACGUGGGUAACCUGCCCAUAAGAGGGGGAUAACAUCCGGAAACGGGUGCUAAUACCGCAUAGGUUUCUUGGUCGCAUGAUCGAGAAAGGAAAGACGGCCUUUGCGCUGUCGCUUAUGGAUGGACCCGCGUCUGAUUAGCUAGUUGGUGGGGUAACGCCUACCGAAGGCGACGAUC